UAGGGAAUCUUCGGCAAUGGGGGGAACCCUGACCGAGCAACGCCGCGUGAGUGAAGAAGGUUUUCGGAUCGUAAAGCUCUGUUGUUAAGGAAGAACGAGUGUGAGAAUGGAAAGUUCAUGCUGUGACGGUACUUAACCAGAAAGGGACGGCUAACUACGUGCCAGCAGCCGCGGUAAUACGUAGGUCCCGAGCGUUGUCCGGAAUCACUGGGCGUAAAGGGUUCGCAGGCGGAAAUGCAAGUCAGGUGUAAAAGGCAGUAGCUUAACUACUGUAAGCAUUUGAAACUGCAUAUCUUGAGAAGAGUAGAGGUAAGUGGAAUUUUUAGUGUAACGGUGAAAUGCGUAGAUAUUAAAAAGAAUACCGGUGGCGAAGGCGACUUACUGGGCUCAUUCUGACGCUGAGGAACGAAAGCGUGGGUAGCAAACAGG
rnacentral:rRNA from 1 species